rnacentral:rRNA from 1 species
UGGGGAAUAUUGGACAAUGGGGGGAACCCUGAUCCAGCCAUGCCGCGUGUGUGAAGAAGGCCUUAUGGUUGUAAAGCACUUUAAGCGAGGAGGAGGGUACUGGUAUUAAUACUACCAGGUACUGGACGUUACUCGCAGAAUAAGCACCGGCUAACUCUGUGCCAGCAGCCGCGGUAAUACAGAGGGUGCGAGCGUUAAUCGGAUUUACUGGGCGUAAAGCGUGCGUAGGCGGCUAAUUGAGUCGGAUGUGAAAUCCCCGAGCUUAACUUGGGAAUUGCAUUCGAUACUGGUUAGCUAGAGUGUGGGAGAGGAUGGUAGAAUUCCAGGUGUAGCGGUGAAAUGCGUAGAGAUCUGGAGGAAUACCGAUGGCGAAGGCAGCCAUCUGGCCUAACACUGACGCUGAGGUACGAAAGCAUGGGGUGCAAACAGG